UCUCGCAAACCGGAAUCGAACCAGUGACCGAUGGAUGACUACAGUCCACCGCUCUACCAACUGAGCUAUCGCGAG
rnacentral:tRNA from 1 species